UACAGAGGGGGCAAGCGUUGUUCGGAAUUACUGGGCGUAAAGGGCGCGUAGGCGGCCUGUUAAGUCGAACGUGAAAUCCCCGGGCUCAACCCGGGAACUGCGUCCGAUACUGGAAGGCUUGAAUCCGGGAGAGGGAUGUGGAAUUCCAGGUGUAGCGGUGAAAUGCGUAGAUAUCUGGAGGAACACCGGUGGCGAAGGCGACAUCCUGGACCGGUAUUGACGCUGAGGCGCGAAAGCCAGGGGAGCAAAGCGGG
rnacentral:rRNA from 1 species